GAUAGGAUUUAUAAUUACAUUUCAUUUGAUAUAGCUACAUUGUAUUGUUUAUAAUAUAUGGAAAUUGAUAUAUAUUGAUUUGAUUUCCUUGUGGAUGAUCCUCAAAGUUUUUCGUCUGGGGGUCGACUCUGUUAAGAAAGUGACCUGCAGGUGUCGUUGUCCUUGGGCCGUUCGUUGUGGAGAUAGGGUUCCCCCGUGUUGCUUAGUUGUAAUUCUGGCUGAUAGAUGCCGUUGUCCGACCUUGGUUGCAAUAUUGUGUGCUUUCUUUAUAACUUUGAGCUGCUUCGUGUUGGUCGUCGACUCGAUUUGCGUGAUCAGCCGUUUUCUGUUUGGUUGAUGUUUAAGGUCUGUUUAAUGGUUCAAGAUAGUGGGGCCUGCCGUUGUUUUUAUUUUUAAUGACUCUGGACUUGUGGAGCUCCGGACUGUGUGGAGUAGGACUGUGUUGGAUUGGACGGCCGGGUGUGUUCAGGUGAGGAUAUCGGUGCGUUUCCGUUCAGACUCUGGUGAUACUCGCUAUGGACUGGGCCGUCCUCAUUCCUUCAUUGGUCCAUUUUCUUUUUAGCAUUUUCAGGAUGCUCCUCAUGAUGAUGAGCAGGAUAAGGAUGGUGACCAGUAUGAUGAGAAUUAUUACCGCCGUUGAUUGUUUGGAGAAUUCCUCCGAGUGUUUGUUUUGUGUUUCCACUAUGGUUAGCAGAGUGUUUCCGUGUAUCUCGGCACGGUUAUUCUCUUCUUCGGAUGAUGAAAAAAAGCCCAUUCUGAAUGCGACUGACUAAUACUCUUGGCGAUGUUGAACUGGAUGGUUUGGGCUUCGGUAUCGGAAAUUGAUCGAUAUGCGCUUCGGUCGGUGAAUCGGAGCGGUGUGCUGUAUGAUUAUUAUUGCUGACACCACUUGUUCGACAAUUCGAUCGGUGUAUUCAUUUUGGUCUUUAUUUUAGGUGUCCGAGUGAUUGUCAGCUGCUGUCGGUGCUAUUGUACAAAACGCUUAGCUGUUUGUUUACGCUGCCGGUUUCUCUUGCGUUUUUGAAGACUUUCGGUCGUAAUUUUUUCGGUGUUUGGUGUUUUGAUUUGGGUAUCUAGAUAGCAUUCGGGUGGGUUUGCGUUACGGAGUUAGGUUCCUCUUGCGUUUGUGAGGAUUUUUGGUCGUGACACUCAAAGACAUUCGAGUAGAUUGGCAUCUCGGAGUAGUUUAAGGAGUGCAUGUUCGUUGUCCGGGUUGUUGCUGAGUACCUCGCGGAUCGAGCUGGGCAGACUGUGAUGUCUGCGAAGACCGUGAAAUUUGGGGCAGUUGAUGAGAAUGUGUUCAACUGAGAGCCUGACGUUGCAUAUGGGGCAGGAUGGUGGUUGACAAUUUGAAAUGGUGUGUGCAUGGGUAAUUCUGGUGUGGCCGGUUCGCAAUCUGGAUAGGGCUCGUUGCUCCAUCCGGCUGCUUCUAUCGAUCCAUUUGUCGGGUUCACCUUUAAUUUUUUGGGUGUGCCCUGAGGAUGCUCUCCAGGUUCUGAUGAAGUGGUGUAAAGCUUUUGUAUUGACGCAUCUGAUGAGGUCCAUAGCUGGGACCGUUCUGGUAAGGUAGUGGUUGUUGGACCUGCCUAAAGCUGCGAGUGCGUCGGCUUCUUCGUUGCCGGGGAUUCCAGAGUGUCCGGGUAUCCAACAGAUGAUCGUCUGGUUGUUGCACUGUUCCUCUAUUGCUUGGAUGAAGGGGUGUAGGGAAUUGCCUGUUUCGAGGGCGGUGAGGACUGCCAAGGAGUCGGAUAGAAUUAUCGUUGGAGUGUUGGGGGGUUUGGAUUUGAUUGCGUAGAGGAUUGCUGAGGCUUCAGCCGAGAAUACUGAGCAUGAUGAGUGUAGCCGAAAGUUGUGGUUGGAUGUUGUGCUGUAGAUACCGGCUCCGACAUGUUCGUUCAGUUUGGAUCCGUCGGUAAAAAUUUGAUGAUGAUAGGGGUAGUUCUCUUCUAUUAGUCGGUGCAAGUGGGUUCGGACUACGUUUGAUUGUGUUCCUGCCCGGAGGGUGCGGGUUAAACUGGUGUCGAUGCGUGGAGUUUUGGCAAACCAUUCCCGCCGGCGGAUCUGUUGUAUCCUGGCAAGUUUGGGCAUUCUGGUAUUAUUGUACAUUAGGUACAGGUCUUUGGCAAUACUGAGUAAUAUUCGAUUGUUGCCUCUUGUUCUUUGUAGGAAGCCGAGAGUCCUUUUGAAAAUGGUGAUAUUGGCGUACCAUUGGAAGGGUAAGACUCCGGAUUCAACGCAGGCAGCGAACGCCGGGGUGCUAGGUAAGAGGUUGCUUGCCAGACGGAUUGAGCGGUUGUAGAGAGGAGCUAAUGUCUUCUGCAUGCCUUCCCGGUUUAGGCAAGUGAUUUCAAUUCCAUAGAAGAUCCGGCUGUUGAUUAGGGCCUUGCUGAUGUUGAGAGCUGUUCGUCGGUUCCAUCGGGGGUGGCAGGAGCUUAUUGUUUUGAUAAGUCGCAGCCGACUUUCGCAGUCUUUUUUAAUGUUCUUGAAGUGGUCGUUGAAAGUGAGCUUUCGGUCGAUCGUGAUGCCGAGUAUCUUGGGUAGGCGUUGAAAGGGUAUGUUAGUGUUAUCCAGUUUAAUUGGAUUUCCUGCAGCGACAUGGUGAGAGUUGCAACAAUGUGCAAUGGCGCAUUUCUGGGGUGCUAUGGAAAAUCCGACAGAGUUCGCCCAUUGGCCGAUUUUCUUAACCGCGGUUUGGAUCUUCCUGCGAAUGAAUUUGAGGUUUUUUCCUGUUGAGACGAGGAUUAUGUCGUCGGCAUAGACAAGUAUGUGGAGUUUGCUUGUUAUGUUUCGGAAUACAGGGUUCAUUGCUAUUAAAAAGAGUGUGACGGCUAGUGCGGAGCCUUGGGGUACCCCGUUGGUUUCGGUGAAGGUUGAUGAUCGGUUUCCUCCUAUGGUAACCUGGAAUUGACGAUUUUGAAGAUAGUUGCUGAGAAAUGCACCCAUGUUGCCGGUGAUUCCUUCUUUAAGUAGCGUGCGCAGUAUGCCUUCUCGCCAUACUGUAUUAUAGGCUUUGGCUAUGUCUAGGAUGGCUAUGUCGGCAUGCAGGUUUUGGUCUUUUGCGUCGCGUAAAAUCUGACCCAGGGUUCCCAGGUGGAUUCCUGUUCCUUGGCCUUGGCGGAAAGCGAAUUGUCUUUGGUCGAGCAGUUGGUUAGUCUCUAAAUAAGCUGACAGGCGGCGGUUUACCAUUUUUUCCAUGAUUUUUCCAAUACAUGGGAGAAGACUGAUGGGACGGAAGUCUUUUACGGUUCUGUUUCCCUCGCAUUUCUUGGGAAUAGGGACGACUAAGGCACUUUUCCAGUAAUCGGGUAGUUUCCCGCGCUCCCAUAUUGUGUUAUAACACUUCAGUAGUGCUUUUUUGGCGUCGGGUGGGAGAUGCUGUAUGAGUGGGUAGCUGAUGCCGUCGCUUCCGGCUGAUUUACCGUGUGCUGAUGCUAGUGCAUGUUGGAGUUCGGAGCCGGAGAAUGGUUGGUUGAACUGUUGUCCGGUGUCGGGGGGAAAGGUAGUUUUGAUGAGUUCAAGUUUGGCUUUCUUUGUUAGGAAUGCAGGAUGUAAGGCAUUGUUGGCUGAUAAUGAGGCAAAGUGGGUGCCCAUUUCCUCUGCCAUUAUGGAGGGGUCUAUUGUGGUGGUGCCGUUAGUGUUGAGGGUGAAGCCGGUGUGGCGGCGCUUGCCGUUUAGUGCGUUGACCCUUCUCCAAAGUUGGGUUGUGUUUGAGUCGGUUGAGAUUUCUUCUAAGAAUCGGGUCCAGCUUGCCUCUUUUGCUUCUCGGAUUGCUUUCCUGGCUUGGUUCCUUUUAGUUCUGAAUAUCUGUUCCUUUUCCUGUCGGGUUGGGUUAUUAAUUUCGGUUUUUUGUAGUACCCGCAGUGCCUUACGGCGGGCUUUGAUGGCGUCUGCCACCUCUGGGCACCACCAGUGGAUGGCUCGCUUCGCAGCCUUUUUACCUGUUUUAGGUAUGGUUUCGUGGGCGGCUUGGUUCAUUAUAAGGCCGAGCUCUGUGGCGGUGUACUCCCUGUUAGGUUCUAUGUUGAUUGAUACAAGGCGUUCGUAUUCGGGCCAGUCCGCACGUUCCGUGAUCCAUCGUGGUCUUCGUGUAGUGUCGGGUGAGUGUUGGUUAUGGGAAAUGGUAAUGGGAAAAUGGUCGCUGUUGGCAGGAUCAUCGAGGACCUCCCAAGAGCAUAAUCUGGCUACUGAUGAUGAAGCUAUGGAGAUGUCGAUUGCCGAUUCGGAGUUCCCGCGAGUGAAGGUAAUUCUGCCGUCGUUUAGAAUUAUUGCGUUGUGAUCUUCGAUGGUUUCGAUUAUUAGGUUCCCUCGUUGGUUGCUUUGGCGUGCUCCCCAACGUUCGUGGUGGGCGUUGACAUCCCCCAGGAUGAGGAAUGGGGGAUGAAUUUCUUCAAUUAGUUUGCGGAAUUUGUGGUUUAAAUUGGAAAUGUUUUGGGGUAGGUAAAUCGAGACGACCGUUAUUUUAAACGGGUAUGUGAUCUGUCUGGCAACAGCGAUCAGAUCUGUCCGCAGUUGAAUGAUGGUAGAAGGAAUGUCCUUACGUAUUCCAAGUCCGACUGUUUGAUAGAUGUUCUCCCCGGUUUUAGCUUCCCAUGUGUAAUUGUGUCCGAGCCAUGCAGUGGGGUCGGUGGCGUCGGAGAGGUGGGUUUCUUGUAAAGCCAGACAGAUAGGAUUGGUAUUAUUGAUUAAUAUUUGUAGGUCGCCUAGAGAGUUUCGUAGUCCGUUAGUGUUCCAUUGUAAUGCGAGUGUUGUUCGGUUUUGGAUCAUUUUUGUUUUGUUUUGUAGAGUUAGUUGAUCUCGGUGCAUGUCUUUUGUUGGAGGGGUUAGUAUCUUAAUGUCCUUUUAUUCGAUUGUUGGGUCGAUAUCCGAGGAAUGAUCGGUUUCUAUCCCCUCCAUUUCAGGAGGGGGUGAGAAAUUGUCGUUGGCUCUGCUUGUAUUCUGUUUUUUUGCUCGUGGUGAUUGGGUAGGGGAGUUUUCUCUAUGUUUGUCUGCACUUUGUUGAGGUAGUUUCUUCGAUGUAUUGAUAAUUGGGAUUAUCUCCGUAAAUAGGUUUCCGUAGUUGGCCGUUGCUUUUUCAGGGUUGGAUGUGGGGAUGUCAUCGUUGGAAUUGUGUUUGGUUUUCCGGGUGUUGUCUUUGGGAUGUGUCCAUGUGCUUUGUGACUGGGUGUAGUUUCCAGUAAUAUGUUUCUUUAGUUCGGCCAUCUCAGCGAGAAUCUGCAUGUUAAUUUUUUGGCUUUCUUGUAGCUCUUGUUUCAGUUUUUUUAUUAGAGUGUCUUUGCUAUUAACCAGUUGUGUGAUCUUUGAGCGAUAUUGGUUUUUGAGUUCCUCGAAGUCUUUUUCCAAUUUUUCUGAUUUUUCACGCCACUCCUUUGCCUCGUUGCUUGCUACAUUAACGAAGGUUUGUUGUUUUGGCUUGUGUAGUUUCCUAGCUUCCGCAUAGGUGAGGUUAUUGUCGAUUUUAGUUUUCACUAUUUUCAUUUCGGCGAUGUAAUU